AACAAAGUAGAAUGAUCUGUGAUUGUUGUCAGCGUUCCAUAUAUAAGUAGUACAUCAAAUACAAGUUUUGAUACUAAGGGCUUGAGGUUUGCUAUAUACAAUCUUAGUUUUGUAAUAUUUAUAAACAGAGGUUGAUCCUUUUUUGUUUAGUAAUUAUAAUCUCUACAAGCCUGAGUUUAGUUUCGGGAGUAGUAUAUGGAUUGUGUCUGUUCUUUGAUAAUUAUUGUCUUCAAAUGGUUUUGUAAUUUGGAAGUGAGAGGACAGACCAAGUUAACUUGUUUUUAUGCUAAUCUACAGAUGCAAAUCUCAGACAGUCAUUACCAGAUCAAGUUCGCGUACCAGCUGUUUUUAAGUGCCAUAGAGUCACUGCAAUUAGCAAUGGUGAAGCUGAGAUUGCUUACCAGGCUACUGUGAAAAUCAGUGGUCAUGUAUUCAAGGGGUUGCUCUAUGAUCGUGGGGUUGAUAAGAAGAAUGAAUACCCUUGUAUUUCACAUAUGCAUUUGGGAAGUGGUAGUAACCAAAGGAAUGGAGACUCUUCUUCUCCAACUGUGCCUCCAUCCGAUGUCUGUGUGGCGUCCACCAGCUGAAGGUUUUUUAGAGAUAGCCAGAUAUUAAAUGUGAUUAUACACGUUUGUAGUGUAUAAGGGAGGUUUGCGUUGCAACUCUUGUGGAAUUAUCAUAUGGGCUGUUAGUGUAGUAUAGCCAGAUAUUAAAUGUGAUUAUACACGUUGAUGCUUGGAAGCGCCAAGAACUAUAUCAGAGUCUGCUACAGUAUAGAAUGCAGAUAUGGUUCCGCCGAGCACCCAGAAGCCUGGUUUGGAGCUCUUAACAUAUUGUUAAUUUAGUUAUCUUUUCAUGUAACUGAACACCAUUUUGAAUAAUUAUCAAACUAGGACAUGAAAGCGUUGGAUCAGAAUAGAUGUAAGAAUGUGAAUAUGUGGCCAUCUAUCAAAAUAUAUGGAUCUUCUCUCAGUA